rnacentral:rRNA from 1 species
UACGUAGGGGGCAAGCGUUGUCCGGAUUCAUUGGGCGUAAAGAGCUCGUAGGCGGCUUGGCAAGUCGGGUGUGAAAACUUCAGGCUCAACCUGGAGCGGCCACUCGAUACUGCCAUGGCUAGAGUCCGGUAGGGGACCACGGAAUUCCUGGUGUAGCGGUGAAAUGCGCAGAUAUCAGGAGGAACACCGGUGGCGAAGGCGGCGCUCUGGGCCGGAACUGACGCUGAGGAGCGAAAGCGUGGGGAGCGAACAGG